rnacentral:rRNA from 1 species
AGAGAUACCUUAGUGCCUUCGGGAACUGUGAGACAGGUGCUGCAUGGCUGUCGUCAGCUCGUGUUGUGAAAUGUUGGGUUAAGUCCCGCAACGAGCGCAACCCUUAUCCUUUGUUGCCAGCGGUUCGGCCGGGAACUCAAAGGAGACUGCCAGUGAUAAACUGGAGGAAGGUGGGGAUGACGUCAAGUCAUCAUGGCCCUUACGAGUAGGGCUACACACGUGCUACAAUGGCGCAUACAAAGAGAAGCGACCUCGCGAGAGCAAGCGGACCUCAUAAAGUGCGUCGUAGUCCGGAUCGGAGUCUGCAACUCGACUCCGUGAAGUCGGAAUCGCUAGUAAUCGUAGAUCAGAAUGCUACGGUGAAUACGUUCCCGGGCCUUGUACACACCGCCCGUCACACCAUGGGAGUGGGUUGCAAAAGAAGUAGGUAGCUUAACCUUCGGGAGGGCGCUUACCACUUUGUGAUUCAUGACUGGGGUGAAGUCGUAAC